GGCCCGUUGGUCAAGCGGUUAAGACACCGGCCUCUCACGCCGGUAACAGGAGUUCGAUUCUCCUACGGGUCACCA
rnacentral:tRNA from 1 species